GCUUGGGUCAAUACUGAUGACCUGAGUUUGAUCCCUAGGAGGGAGCUUCUACUGGAUUUUCUGGAGUCAGGGUUUGAGAGUGAAGUUGUAGAGACCUGUGAGGUCAAAUGCUGUUAGAGAGCAGGAAACAGCAGGUUCAGGUCCAGAUGUAGAUGGGCAAAAAUGAACAGGCAGACAGUUGAGUGGGCUACUUCAACAAUAGAGGACUGAGUCCCAGGGAUGGUUAUGAGUCCUCUGCUUGUCAGUAUUUGACUCACAUUGGGUCAUACCAUUACAAUGUUAGGUGUCCAUCAUUUUAUGUGAUCUGAGCGAGGGAAUUAUAUAAUUUCCUUGGUCUGCUGUAUCUGUGUUUCUGAUAAGUUCUCGGGCCUGGUUUUCCUGAUAUGAUUUUUUAAUACACCCAUAUGUUUCCUCUACAGUUUGAUGAAUUUAUAAGGUGAUUCCCUUUCUACUCCCAGAAAUAAGUCAUUUAUCAGUCUGUGCUGGAUGGAUGGUGCCUGAGAGAUGAUGUGUGGUUUGUGGGUUCACCGUGAGACUACAGGCAUCCUUCCCUCUUGAAACAGAGUCAAAAGCUGCUUGUAAACGGGAGUCUCUCAUGUCAAGGAACAGCUUGAAAAACUACUGUUUCACACAAUAUGGAGUAGCCAAGAGUAAGACACAGCAUGAUUAUAAGAGUCAUCAAGAGACCCUAUUAAACUCAUAGAAAACUUACCCCCAGCAUGGUGCAGACUGCUGUUCUCUGCCUCUGCCCAAUACCUAGGGUCAGUUCUGUGCUGCCAUCACUCACUCCACUGUGAGGAAUAUUCUCAGUCCUUCAAAUCAGACUGGAAUCUUUGCCAGUGUAGAGAUGCCUCCCUGUUCUCUUUCAACUGAUUACACUUUGGGGAAAGAUUGCUGUUCCUGGUCUUGUCCACAACCCUCCCAACAUUCAGAGUGGAGCAAGUUCACAGAGCCAGGUAAAAUGACAAAAUGGAGCUAGAGGCCCAGCUGUGGCCCCAACUGUCCACUAGCAUCAUUGCCCGUGUGCACAGGGCUCUUUCUCUUGGGCUUGCUCUGUCCCAGUAGACCCUUUGAGCUACCAAAUGAGCACCUGGAAGCCUCUUCUAUAAAUAGCUACACACGCUCAGACUUGCCCAAGACUCCUGACAAACACAGGCUGUUGUCAAGCCAGACUGCUGCUCCCAGCUCUAGGAAGGCUUAGACAACAUUAUAUGGUGUUCUCCUGUGGACCCAUAUUGCUCUUAUUCAUUCUUAGACGGAAAAAAAGAAUUUUAGAUGGAGAUGAUGCCUCCCAGGCCUCUGAAGACAUUUGUGUCAAGGUAAUGGGAAUACAUUGGUUCAGCCUGCCCUGACUGAGUUGUAGGAGCCAUACCCCAGAGUUCUCAGACACCCACGGAAGUCACAUGCUGAACAGGCAGCAAGAGAUGAGGGGCAAGCUGAGUGGAAACUACUUCUGGCUGUUAAGUCUUAAAGUUCUCUUCAGGUGUAGGGAAGAUCACCUUGCCUUACAUUGUUCAUUUGUACUGGAUAAGGCUGGCAAUUGAUACAUUUCUUUGGUACAUCAGAAGGGGAAAAGCUACAAACAGCGCUCUAUGAGAUCCACUCUGAGAACUCAACCAAUGAGAUUAAAAUUAUUUCUGCCUGUACUGAACAUAUCUAGACAUUUCUUCUUGUCAUUGUUGUUCCCCCAAACACUAUACAACAGCUGUUUCCAUGGUCUGACACUGAAUUAGGUAUUUAUUACAACUACUGGAGAUAAUUUGAAGUGUAUGGAAGGAUGUGCAGAUUCAUCACCAUUUUAAGGGUCUUGAGCAUCCAAGGAUUUGGUGUUAUAACAGGCACUUUUAAACUGCUUCUGCUAAAAAAGACAUUGACUUCUUGCUUUGGGUCCACAGGGUGACUAAAAGCAGGAUGAAGCCUGGUAUCUCUGCCUUCAUCAUGUCUCUGUCUCUUUUGCAUGUAGGUGUAUUAAUCUCUCUGGAAGUAUCUGUACAAAAACUGGUAAUAAACCUGUCUCACUCCCCUUCAAAGGAACAGCAGCACCUCAAAGGACAGACCACCCCUAAGAUGAGGCCAGUUAUCCAUGAUGGUCAGUUGGCACCCUGGAACGUGCCAGUAACCAUCACCUGAGAACCAGCAUGUUCCCUCCAACAAUAUGGACUCCUUCAGACCACCUUGCAGAACCAGAGCUGAGACAAGGGCCAACCAGACCACAGCUGGCCCAGGACUGCUUCAAAACAUGUGCCUUGCGCUGUAAGAGCGCCUGUCUCUGUGGCCGCUGCCUCCGCCUUCCUUCACUGACUCCACAAUCCAGCAUCUUGACCUACCAACCUGACUGAAGACCUAUGACUUGCCAGGAAUCUUCCAGGACUUCAGCAGCAGAUUGGGACUGAGAUAUCCACCUUCAUAGACUGAGAAGCUGCCGGGUUCUCAGUUUCUGUGGCAUGUAGACAGCCAUUGUUGGACACAAGGCUAGUGUCAGUUGUAAGCCAUUGUAGAAUCAGCUUUUAUAGUAAGUAAAUAUACAUAUAUAUACACAGUC